UACGUAGGGUGCAGGCGUUAAUCGGAAUUACUGGGCGUAAAGCGUGCGCAGGCGGUCUGCUAAGAGAGAUGUGAAAUCCCCGGGCUUAACCUGGGAACUGCGUUUCUAACUGGCAGGCUAGAGUGUGGCAGAGGGGGGUGGAAUUCCACGUGUAGCAGUGAAAUGCGUAGAGAUGUGGAGGAACACCGAUGGCGAAGGCAGCCCCCUGGGCUAACACUGACGCUCAUGCACGAAAGCGUGGGGAGCAAACAGG
rnacentral:rRNA from 1 species